GCCUGCUUAGCUCAGAGGUUAGAGCAUCGCAUUUGUA
rnacentral:tRNA from 1 species